rnacentral:rRNA from 1 species
CCAGCAGCUGCGGUAAUUCCAGCUCUUCUAGCGUAUAUCGAAGUUGAUGCAGUUAAAACGCUCGUAGUCGGAGCAGUUCAGCUGAAGGAGAAAAUGCUGAUGUUGUCGAAAGAUGACAUUGGAACUUCACUGAUUCAUUGGAUUGUGCAUGUGCAUGGGUUCGCCUGUGAUUACUGCCCUUCCACAUUUACUUUGAGGAAAUCAGAGUGUUCAUAGCAGUCGAUUGACUGAAUAUUUUAGCAUGGGAUAAUAGAAGAUGGCAAGCUGCCUUUUCUAUGGUUCUUGAUGGCAUUAUUUGCAAUGAUCAAUGGGAGUGGAUGGGGCUGCCAGUAUUACGGAGCUAGAGGUGA